AAAAAAAUGUCUGUAUGCCAUUUGUAUUGGAACUUUUUGAAAUUGAGCUUUCUGACCUAUGAAAUUAGCAUGUUCUUCCAUUUAUGUAUUUUUAAAUGUUUUUUAAUACACAUUUAUAAACUUCUUUGCAGAAGGUCAUUGCACAUUU